rnacentral:rRNA from 1 species
AGUGAACGCUGGCGGCAGGCCUAAUACAUGCAAGUCGAACGGCAGCACAGUGGAGCUUGCUCCAUGGGUGGCGAGUGGCGGACGGGUGAGGAAUACAUGGGAAUCUGCCCAGUCGUGGGGGAUAACGUAGGGAAACUUACGCUAAUACCGCAUGCGCCCUUCGGGGGAAAGCCGGGGACCUUCGGGCCUGGCGCGAUUGGAUGAGCCCAUGUUCGAUUAGCUAGUUGGCGGGGUAAAGGCCCACCAAGGCGACGAGCGAUAGCUGGUAUGAGAGGAUGAUCAGCCACACUGGGACUGAGACACGGCCCAGACUCCUACGGGAGGUAGCAGUAGGGAAUAUUGGACAAUGGGCGCAAGCCUGAUCCAGCCAUGCCGCGUGAGUGAAGAAGGCCCUCGGGUUGUAAAGCUCUUUUGUCCGGGAAGAAAAGCAUCGGGCUAAUACCUCGGUGUUCUGACGGUACCGGAAGAAUAAGCACCGGCUAACUUCGUG